rnacentral:rRNA from 1 species
AUUGAACGCUGGCGGCAGGCCUAACACAUGCAAGUCGAACGAGUGGCGGACGGGUGAGUAAUGUCUGGGAAACGGCCUGAUGGAGGGGGAUAACUACUGGAAAUGGUAGCUAAUACCGCAUAUCAUCGGAUGUGCCCACAUGGGAUUAGCUAGUAGGUGGGGUAAAGGCCCACCUUGGCGACGAUCCCUAGCUGGUCGGAGAGGAUGAACGGCCACACGGGAACUGAGACACGGUCCAGACCUCGACGGGAGGCAGCAGUGGGGAAUAUGGCACAAUGGGCGCAAGCCUGAUGCAGCCAUGCCGCUUGUAUGAAGAAGGCCUUCGGGUUGUAAAUUACUUUCAGCGGGGAUGCGUUACCCGCAGAAGCAGCACCGGCUAACUCCGUGCCAGCAGCCGCGGUAAUA